GACGAACGCUGGCGGCGUGCUUAACACAUGCAAGUCGAACGGAAAGGCCCUGCUUUUGUGGGGUGCUCGAGUGGCGAACGGGUGAGUAACACGUGAGUAACCUGCCCUUGACUUUGGGAUAACUUCAGGAAACUGGGGCUAAUACCGGAUAGGAGCUCCUGCUGCAUGGUGGGGGUUGGAAAGUUUCGGCGGUUGGGGAUGGACUCGCGGCUUAUCAGCUUGUUGGUGGGGUAGUGGCUUACCAAGGCUUUGACGGGUAGCCGGCCUGAGAGGGUGACCGGCCACAUUGGGACUGAGAUACGGCCCAGACUCCUACGGGAGGCAGCAGUGGGGAAUAUUGCACAAUGGGCGGAAGCCUGAUGCAGCAACGCCGCGUGCGGGAUGACGGCCUUCGGGUUGUAAACCGCUUUCGCCUGUGACGAAGCGUGAGUGACGGUAAUGGGUAAAGAAGCACCGGCUAACUACGUGCCAGCAGCCGCGGUGAUACGUAGGGUGCGAGCGUUGUCCAGAUUUAUUGGGCGUAAAGGGCUCGUAGGUGGUUGAUCGCGUCGGAAGUGUAAUCUUGGGGCUUAACCCUGAGCGUGCUUUCGAUACGGGUUGACUUGAGGAAGGUAGGGGAGAAUGGAAUUCCUGGUGGAGCGGUGGAAUGCGCAGAUAUCAGGAGGAACACCAGUGGCGAAGGCGGUUCUCUGGGCCUUUCCUGACGCUGAGGAGCGAAAGCGUGGGGAGCGAACAGGCUUAGAUACCCUGGUAGUCCACGCUGUAAACGGUGGGUACUAGGUGUGGGGUCCAUUCCACGGGUUCCGUGCCGUAGCUAACGCUUUAAGUACCCCGCCUGGGGAGUACGGCCGCAAGGCUAAAACUCAAAGGAAUUGACGGGGCCCCGCACAAGCGGCGGAGCAUGCGGAUUAAUUCGAUGCAACGCGUAGAACCUUGCCUGGGUUUGACAUGGAUCGGGAGCGCUCAGAGAUGGGUGUGCCUCUUUUGGGGUCGGUUCACAGGUGGUGCAUGGCUGUCGUCAGCUCGUGUCGUGAGAUGUUGGGUUAAGUCCCGCAACGAGCGCAAUCCUUGUUCACUGUUGCCAGCACGUUAUGGUGGGGACUCAGUGGAGACCGCCGGGGUCAACUCGGAGGAAGGUGGGGAUGACGUCAAGUCAUCAUGCCCCUUAUGUCCAGGGCUUCACGCAUGCUACAAUGGCUGGUACAGAGAGUGGCGAGCCUGUGAGGGUGAGCGAAUCUCGGAAAGCCGGUCUCAGUUCGGAUUGGGGUCUGCAACUCGACCUCAUGAAGUCGGAGUCGCUAGUAAUCGCAGAUCAGCAACGCUGCGGUGAAUACGUUCCCGGGGCU
rnacentral:rRNA from 1 species